UUUUAUUUGAGAGUUUGAUCCUGGCUCAGGAUGAACGCUGGCGGCGUGCCUAACACAUGCAAGUUGAGCGAUUUACUUCGGUAAAGAGCGGCGGACGGGUGAGUAACGCGUGGGUAACCUACCCUGUACACACGGAUAACAUACCGAAAGGUAUGCUAAUACGGGAUAACAUAUUUGAGAGGCAUCUCUUGAAUAUCAAAGGUGAGCCAGUACAGGAUGGACCCGCGUCUGAUUAGCUAGUUGGUAAGGUAACGGCUUACCAAGGCGACGAUCAGUAGCCGACCUGAGAGGGUGAUCGGCCACAUUGGAACUGAGACACGGUCCAAACUCCUACGGGAGGCAGCAGUGGGGAAUAUUGCACAAUGGGCGAAAGCCUGAUGCAGCAACGCCGCGUGAGUGAUGAAGGCCUUCGGGUCGUAAAACUCUGUCCUCAAGGAAGAUAAUGACGGUACUUGAGGAGGAAGCCCCGGCUAACUACGUGCCAGCAGCCGCGGUAAUACGUAGGGGGCUAGCGUUAUCCGGAUUUACUGGGUGUAAAGGGUGCGUAGGCGGUCUUUCAAGUCAGGAGUGAAAGGCUACGGCUCAACCGUAGUAAGCUCUUGAAACUGGGAGACUUGAGUGCAGGAGAGGAGAGUGGAAUUCCUAGUGUAGCGGUGAAAUGCGUAGAUAUUAGGAGGAACACCAGUUGCGAAGGCGGCUCUGGACUGUAACUGACGCUGAGGCACGAAGCGGGGAAACAGGAUUAGAUACCCUGGUAGUCCACGCUGUAAACGAUGAGUACUAGGUGUCGGGGGUUACCCCUCGGUGCCGCAGCUAACGCAUUGAGUACUCCGCCUGGGAAGUACGCUCGCAAGAGUGAAACUCAAAGGAAUUGACGGGGACCCGCACAAGUAGCGGAGCAUGUGGUUUAAUUCGAAGCAACGCGAAAGAACCUUACCUAGCUUGACAUCCCAAUGACAUCUCCUUAAUCGGAGAGUUCCCUUCGGGGACAUUGGUGACAGGUGGUGCAUGGUUGUCGUCAGCUCGUGUCGUGAGAUGUUGGGUUAAGUCCCGCAACGAGCGCAACCCGCUGUCUUUAGUUGCCAUCAUUAAGUUGGGCACUCUAGAGAGACUGCCAGGGAUAACCUGGAGGAAGGUGGGGAUGACGUCAAAUCAUCAUGCCCCUUAUGCUUAGGGCUACACACGUGCUACAAUGGGUAGUACAGAGGGUUGCCAAACCGUAAGGUGGAGCUAAUCCCUUAAAGCUACUCUCAGUUCGGAUUGUAGGCUGAAACUCGCCUACAUGAAGCUGGAGUUACUAGUAAUCGCAGAUCAGAAUGCUGCGGUGAAUGCGUUCCCGGGUCUUGUACACACCGCCCGUCACACCACGGGAGUUGGAGACGCCCGAAGCCGAUUAUCUAACCUUUUGGAAGAAGUCGUCGAAGGUGGAAUCAAUAACUGGGGUGAAGUCGUAACAAGUAGCCGUAUCGGAAGGUGCGGCUGGAUCACCUCCUUUCUA
rnacentral:rRNA from 1 species